GAUGAACGCUGGCGGCGUGCUUAACACAUGCAAGUCGAACGGAAAGGCCCUGCUUUUGUGGGGUGCUCGAGUGGCGAACGGGUGAGUAACACGUGUGUAACCUGCCCUUGACUUUGGGAUAACUUCAGGAAACUGGGGCUAAUAUCGGAUAGGAGCUCCUGCUGCAUGGUGGGGGUUGGAAAGUUUCGGCGGUUGGGGAUGGACUCGCGGCUUAUCAGCUUGUUGGUGGGGUAGUGGCUUACCAAGGCUUUGACGGGUAGGCGGCCUGGGAGGGUGACCGGCCACAUUGGGACUGAGAGACGGCCCAGACUCCUACGGGAGGCAGCAGUGGGGAAUAUUGCACAGUGGGCGGAAGCCUGAUGCAGCAACGCCGCGUGCGUGAUGACGUCCUUCGGGUUGUAAACCGCUGUCGCCUGUGACGAAGCGUGAGUGACGGUAAUGGAUAAAGAAGCACCGGCUAACUACGUG
rnacentral:rRNA from 1 species